rnacentral:rRNA from 1 species
AGAGUUUGAUCCUGGCUCAGAUUGAACGUUGGCGGCAGGCUUAACACAUGCAAGUCGAACGAGAAAGGUCCUUCGGGGCCGAGUAAAGUGGCGGACGGGUGAGUAACGCGUAGGAAUCUACCUGGUAGUGGGGGACAACUCGAGGAAACUCGGAUGACCUUGGGUUUAGCGCCCUUGGUGAAAGUGGGGGAUCUUCGGACCUCACGCUAUUAGAGGAGCCUGCGUUGGAUUAGCUUGUUGGUGAGGUAACGGCUCACCAAGGCUUCGAUCCAUAGCUGGUCUGAGAGGACGAUCAGCCACACUGGAACUGAGACACGGUCCAGACUCCUACGGGAGGCAGCAGUGGGGAAUAUUGCACAAUGGGCGAAAGCCUGAUGCAGCCAUGCCGCGUGUGUGAAGAAGGCCUUCGGGUUGUAAAGCACUUUCAGUUGUGAGGAAAGGGGGCUGGUUAAUAGCCCAACAGCCUUGACGUUACCAACAGAAGAAGCACCGGCUAACUUCGUGCCAGCAGCCGCGGUAAUACGAGGGGUGCAAGCGUUAAUCGGAAUUACUGGGCGUAAAGCGUUCGUAGGCGGUCUAUUAAGCAAGAUGUGAAAGCCCAGGGCUCAACCUUGGAACUGCAUUUUGAACUGGUAGACUAGAGUACUGUAGAGGGUGGCCGCCUUUCCAGUGUAGCGGUGAAAUGCGUAGAUAUCAGGAAGAACACCGAUGGCGAAGGCAGCUUACUGGGCCAUAACUGACGCUGAGGAACGAAAGCGUGGGUAGCGAACAGGAUUAGAUACCCUGGUAGUCCACGCCGUAAACGAUGAGUACUUGAUGGUGGGGGAUUCGACCCCUUCACUGUCGGAGCUAACGCGUUAAGUACUCCACCUGGGGACUACGACCGCAAGGUUGAAACUCAAAGGAAUUGACGGGGGCCCGCACAAGCGGUGGAUUAUGUGGUUUAAUUCGAUGCAACGCGAAGAACCUUACCUGGGUUUGACAUGUGCAGGAAAUUUUCGUGAAAGCGAGAACCUCUACGAGCUUGCUCAAAGACCUGUUCACAGGUGAUGCAUGGCUGUCGUCAGCUCGUGUCGUGAGAUGUUGGGUUAAGUCCCGCAACGAGCGCAACCCCUGUCCUUAGUUGCCAGCACGUAAUGGUGGGGACUCUAGGGAGACUGCCUGGGAUAACCAGGAGGAAGGUGGGGAUGACGUCAAGUCAGUAUGUCCCUUAUAUCCAGGGCUACACACGUAAUACAAUGGUAAAUACAGAGGGCCAGCGAGCCAGCGAUGGUGAGCGAAUCCCUAAAGUUUAUCUCAGUCCGGAUUGGAGUCUGCAACUCGACUCCAUGAAGUUGGAAUCGCUAGUAAUCGCGGAUCAGCAUGCCGCGGUGAAUAUGUUCCCGGGCCUUGUACACACCGCCCGUCACGCCAUGGAAGUCGGUAGCACCCAACGACAGUGCCCUAACCUUCGGGAAGGAGCUGUUUAAGGUGAGAUUGGUAACUGGGGCGAAGUCGUAACAAGGUAACC